rnacentral:hammerhead_ribozyme from 1 species
ACCCAGCUGACGAGUCCCAAAUGGGACGAAACGCACAUCUUGGAU